GCCAGUGCAUUAACUGUCUGCACUUGACAGCAACGAUCUCCAUGCAUUACAUCGUCUGUUCAUCAGUAUGUUGUUCUCCACUCGUUUGUUGACAUUGUGAUUCUGUUGAACUACACGUAGCAUUGAUUUAAAGGCAAAUAUUCUCAUCAUAUAGCGGACACUGUGGCUCCGUCCGCUACUUCCUCGUCUUUUUUUAAAGUCAUGUCUUACCUCGGGACCAUGGCCCUUUAUGAACCUUUUAUUCCAUUUCUACUUAUAUUUGUUUAUAUUUUUUCAAACAGAACACAGUCUAUGAAGGAGUCUAUCAUGCUGAGCAUCCAAACAUCGUUACCUUCUGGGAGGUGUUUGAGAAACUGACAGCCGAGGAUAAGAAGAAAUUCCUUUUGUUUCUCACCGGCUUCGACCGCCUUCCCUUCCUGGGUAUGGAGAGCAUCAGGAUGAGAGUCGAUGUCCUUCCUGAUUCCAAUGAGACCCAUCGUCCAGAGUCCCACACCUGCUAUAGUUUGCUACUACUGCCCCUCUACCGCAGGAACCCGAUCAAGGAGAGGAUGCAGACCAAGCUCCUGCAGGCUAUUCAACAAAAGGGGGCUUCGGGAAAAAAGACACUGCAGAAUAAAGUUAUGAAGGCUUAUUUUAAAAGAUUGCACAUAUUUGACAGUUCUUGUUUUUAUUUCUUAAACCUGCCAAAUGAAACAUCUUUAUUUUAUACUAUUUAAAGAUACACUAAGUUAAAUUAAUACUCUAGAGAGGUUUGACAGUAUCAUGUUUUCUUUUGGUUCUUGUCUUGAAUUUUAAUCUCUUUCAAAACUUUCUGGUUUUACAUGUCAAGUUGUUGGAGAAUAAGAUGUACAUAAAGUCACUGCUUCAUCUCUGCUUUA